rnacentral:sRNA from 1 species
CUUCUAACCCUCACACCCAAUGGGCGAAGUAGGAAAUAGACUUGUCCAUAUCUUUCAGAGAAAAGCGAGUUGGUACUGACUGUUUUCUGCAAGCUGGAGUCACACUGGCGUGGGUGCUUCAAAACCACGUUGUAAGGUGACAAAGAAGAGGGGACCCUUCUCCCUAAUCACACGAGGAAAGCGCCUGAGUUCUUUGUUCCUCUGUCUGGCCCAAUGACUUCAAAACAACCAGAUAACUGAACAUCACUGGAGGAGUUUUCAACGACAGCCAUUAGCUUAAGAGAUCCGUCUGUUUUCUCUCAGACACCGGGCCACCGUUUUUAAAGAGUCUUUUUCCUAAGCCAAGAAGUCAUACAAAUAAUAUUUAAAGGCAAAGAGGCUCUCUCUGGGACAGAUUGGAUAGUUCAGCAGUCAAGUGGUUUUCUGUUCCUGCUUGUUGACAUCUCUUGUUUUUAAUCUACUUUUGUGGAAAAGCAAGGCAAGUAUGAUUUCAGGUUUUCUGCAUCCACAUUGAUUCUACACCAGCUUUUAUGAUGAGUAGCCGAGGGUUGGUCGUCUCUGCUUCCGGUCGUGCAGAGGGUCGUCUAGCUGUGGGAGGGGACUUUGGGUCUGCUAAAAGCAUCUAAGGACUGGAAGGGAAGGGUGGGUGAGUGGGAAGCGUAGUCUUUGAUGCUUCAGAGCCUCAACUGUAGCUUACAAGUCCUGCUUCCUGUAUGGUCCGUAAGACCUGGCUUGGAAUUUCUCCCAUGGAGUCUUGCAAUGGCUCUCUUACUUGGGAAGCCAGUCUCCCUGCUCCUCUGCCUCUGGCCAACACCAUUGGAGAAUGCUGUCACUAUGCAAGCAGCUGCUCAUGCUUGCCACAGUCAGGGUGAGGGAGGUGGACAACCACACGGGAUCCCACCUUCU